UGGCAAUCAAUGGUGGGGUUAUGCUUAGUGAGCCAGGGUAGCCCGAACACUAGAGGAGUAGGUAAUCCACUUAGGACGAAACACGACAUAUCCUCAACCUGAGCGUCACCCACAGUCAAACGGAUAUUGUGAACUAUGCCCUUUAACGAUCUUUGAGAAAGUGGAGCGGAAUCGAUAGCAAAAACAGGUAUAUCCUUUUCCAAAGUGCAUACCUG